ensembl:lincRNA Gm14133 predicted gene 14133
GAAGUAAGCUGCUCUCGGUCUCUGAAGAGUUUGCAAAUCAAUGGCUGAAGUACUGGUCUGCCUAGCUCCAUCCUCCAGACUCCAUUUUGUUCCUGUUUUGAGAGGAACCCAGAGAGGUUAUCAGCAAAUGACUGACUAAGGAACUUGCUGAAAUUGAAACAAGCAAACAAAAACCACCACCACAAUCACCACCACCACCACCACCACAACAACAACAACAAUAACAACAACUUGGUUAUAAGGACAAAAUCCUCACCUUUCUCCCUGCUACACUAAAAAGAAGUAACUGUUCCCUUUGGGCAACUGUAGAGUGGGAAAAAACUCUUCCAGAUUUCAGGGAGGGCAUAUUACCUUAUUAAUGUGAAAGUCUGGCUUUUCUCUGCACAGUCAUCACCAGUCAACUGAAACAAUGAAGUAUAAGAAAAUUUGAGCGUAGGCAGCAACUCUUUGGCUUCAUGGAGCACUGCAAAACUCACCAGAUUUUUUUUUUAUAACCCACAGCAUUCCCUGUUAGUAUGACUGCUACUGGGAGCUGUUGGGGUGAAGCCUGGAACUGGCAGCCCUAAGAAGCUGUCUUGGCUCCCACUCAUUCUAACAGUGAAGAGCAGAGAAAGGGGAUUCAUUGAACUGACCAGAUUGGGAAGAGAAUCACCAACAAAUAAACACAUACCAACAAACAAAGAGAUAUCCAGUGCUCGAGCAAAUUCAUAGGGAUUUGACUCUGACAUGAGGUUUAGAUUUAUUUAAUUAGAGACAAAGCUUCACAGUGUAGCUGGCUGGCCUGGAACUCACUAUGUAGAUGAGGUAAACCUCAAAUCAUAUCAUCUGAGAAAUCAUAAGAAUCAGCCUGUCACUGCCACCUGAUGAUGGACAUAUUCCUUGGUAAGUAGAGAGAUAGGAGAAGGACCAUGAGCAGGCAAUAAAGAUGCUGAACUUCCAAGAUGGCAGAUACAUUUUUCCCUUUCUGACCUGAGACAAAAGCCUAGAAGUUUCAAACAAAGGCCUGUAGGCUUUGUCUUCCACUAGCAGCCCAGCUGCUGAUGGAUUGACUCAACAAGUUCAAGGCCAGAUCAGGAGAUAUUUACACAACAGAUUGGGUCAAUCAAACAUCUAUGUUUCUUCAAACAGAUUCACUAAAUUAGAGGAGUGAGACUCCACAGAGACUUGAAAAAAAUCCCAGUCCUUGAGGAGAAACUGGACUUUUGGCUUCCUAAGUUCCGUUUGUUUUGUGAAGGACUUUUUUUGUUUUUUCUGUGUGUCUGCAGCAUACAUGAGUUUCCUUAAACCAAUAAAGAACUUUCU